rnacentral:rRNA from 1 species
UGCCAGCCGCCGCGGUAAUACGGAUGGUGCGAGCGUUAAUCGGAAUUACUGGGCGUAAAGCGCGCGUAGGCGGUUUUGUAAGUCAGAUGUGAAAGCCCAGGGCUCAACCUUGGAACUGCAUUUGAUACUGCAUGACUAGAGUGCGAUAGAGGGGGGUAGAAUUUCAGGUGUAGCGGUGAAAUCCGUAGAUAUUCGGAGGAACACCAGUGGCGAAGGCGGCUUUCUGGACCGAUACUGACGCUGAGACGCGAAAGCGUGGGGAGCAAACAGGAUUAGAUA